AUUGAACGCUGGCGGCAUGCCUUACACAUGCAAGUCGAACGGCAGCACGGGAGCAAUCCAGGUGGCGAGUGGCGAACGGGUGAGUAAAGUAUCGGAACGUGCCCAGUCGUGGGGGAUAACGUAGCGAAAGUUACGCUAAUACCGCAUACGAUCUAUGGAUGAAAGCGGGGGAUCGCAAGACCUCGCGCGAUUGGAGCGGCCGAUAUCAGAUUAGGUAGUUGGUGGGGUAAAGGCUCACCAAGCCGACGAUCUGUAGCUGGUCUGAGAGGACGAACAGCCACACUGGGACUGAGACACGGCCCAGACUCCUACGGGAGGCAGCAGUGGGGAAUUUUGGACAAUGGGCGCAAGCCUGAUCCAGCCAUGCCGCGUGCAGGAUGAAGGCCUUCGGGUUGUAAACUGCUUUUGUACGGAACGAAAAGGUUUGACUUAAUACGUUGGACUCAUGACGGUACCGUAAGAAUAAGCACCGGCUAACUACGUGCCAGCCGCCGCCGUAAUAC
rnacentral:rRNA from 1 species